UACGUAGGGUGCAAGCGUUGUCCGGAAUUAUUGGGCGUAAAGAGCUCGUAGGCGGUCUGUCGCGUCGGCUGUGAAAACUCGGGGCUCAACUCCGAGCUUGCAGUCGAUACGGGCAGGCUAGAGUUCGGCAGGGGAGACUGGAAUUCCUGGUGUAGCGGUGAAAUGCGCAGAUAUCAGGAGAAACACCGGUGGCGAAGGCGGGUCUCUGGGCCGAUACUGACGCUGAGGAGCGAAAGCGUGGGGAGCGAACAGG
rnacentral:rRNA from 1 species